AUAGGAAUCAUUUGGGGAAACUUAUUAAAAUGCAAAUUCUGAUUCACUAUGUUUGUCUGAAUUCACUAUGUUUAUCUGUGCCCAAAAUUCUGCAUUUCUAAUCAGGUUCUGGGUGAUCUAGAU
rnacentral:pre_miRNA from 1 species